rnacentral:rRNA from 1 species
UACGUAGGGGGCGAGCGUUGUCCGGAGUUACUGGGCGUAAAGGGCACGCAGGCGGUGCGGCGCGUUUCGCGUGACAGCGGAGGGCUUAACUCUCCGAGGAUGCGAAAGACGGCGGCACUUGAGGGCCAGAGAGGGACACGGAAUUCCGGGUGGAGUGGUGAAAUGCGUAGAGAUCAGGAAGAACACCAACGGCGAAGGCAGCUCGCUGGGACGGAACUGACGCUAAGGCGCGAAAGCGUGGGGAGCGAACAGG